CGGACCUUUUCCAAGAAGGGAUUGCUUGGUUGCUGAUAAGAAUUCAUCUGGUGUUAUUGGUGAUUCCAAAUGUAGUAAUAGGUUUUGGGGUAUUGUUUGUUUUAUUCAAGGGGUUAAGUAGUGUUCUAGUUCUAGAGCUGUUGGAGUGGAAGAUCGAAUGUUAUAGAGUUCUGUGUAGAACCUCUGGAAUUCAUGUAGUAUGUCUGUGAUUUUAUGUGAUAUGUGUCCCGAUCGUGUUUUGAUUUUGGAUAUAAAUGUAGUUUGUCU